UACGAAGGGGGCUAGCGUUGCUCGGAAUCACUGGGCGUAAAGCGCACGUAGGCGGACUCUUAAGUCAGUGGUGAAAUCCCCGAGCUUAACUUGGGAACUGCCAUUGAUACUAUCAGUCUUGAAUACCGUGGAGGUCAGCGGAAUAUGUCAUGUAGCGGUGAAAUGCUUAGAUAUGACAUAGAACACCAAUUGCGAAGGCAGCUUACUACACAGUGAUUGACACUGAGGCACGAAAGCGUGGGGAUCAAACAGG
rnacentral:rRNA from 1 species